AGAAUUUCAGGAAGACACUGAUAAGAACUUGUUUCUCUUGUCCCUGUUUUUGGAACCCAUUUCUUCAGGGCCCCUACCUGGCCUUGCAGGUAAUGUUAUCACAGCUGCAGCUGGACUUUGGAGUGAGUCAGCCUGGUCAGGGAAGGACUUGUUUUUCUCUUUACUUGUUUUUCUUAUAUUUCCUGCUUCAUGAGCAAGAAACAACAAGCUUUACCUUCACAGUAGAAGAGUCCAGCAGAGCAAAGAUGGAAGCAGAGGGAGUGAAUCUAAACCUAUGGACAGAUUCAUCUUGGAAACCCUAAGUGAGGCUAAAGGGAGAAAACAAAUUGGAAGGAGAUUUAAAGGAUUCUCAAAUACAAACUGAAGUUUUCAAGAACAGGAUCAUGAAGGACAGCAAAAAUCAGGAAUUGCCAAACUUUGUCACAGUGGCUGUACAACAUCAGUGAACCGAAGUCAUACCACUGCAUUACAGCCCGGGCGACAGAGAAAGACUCCAUCUC
rnacentral:antisense_RNA from 1 species